UACGUAGGUGGCAAGCGUUGUCCGGAUUUACUGGGCGUAAAGAGCGCGCAGGCGGUCGAAUAAGUCGAAUGUGAAAGCCCCCGGCUCAAUUGGGGAGGUCAUUCGAUACUGUCCGACUUGAAGGCAGGAGAGAGAAGCAGAAUUCCCGGUGUAGUGGUGAAAUGCGUAGAUAUCGGGAGGAAUACCAGUGGCGAAGGCGGCUUCUUGGCCUGUUCUUGACGCUGAGGCG
rnacentral:rRNA from 1 species